rnacentral:tRNA from 1 species
CGGGAUGUAGCGCAGUCUGGUAGCGCACCGUGUUCGGGUCGCGGGGGUCGCAAGUUCAAAUCUUGUCAUCCCGACCA